GCCGAAGUGGCGGAAUUGGCAGACGCGCUGGUCUCAAAAACCAGUGAGGUCACUCCUCGUGCCGGUUCGACCCCGGCCUUCGGCACCA
rnacentral:tRNA from 2 species